CUCUUUCUCUCUAACCCCACAAAGAAAUAUGGUAGUGGUGGUGUUAGCAAUCCACAAAGGCAUGGAGAGGAAGAAGAAGAUAUCACAAUGGUUGAAUCUCACUUACAACCUCACAUGACUUCCCUCUCUUUCGGCUGCCUCUCUUCUCUCAACUCUCCUCUCCAUUGCUAUAACACAAGAAGUUCUAUGGAGGGGAACCUCUGAAAUCGCUGGACCUAUCACGCAUUGUGAAUCCCAACCAUUUCAAUUGCUUGACAAAAUUAAUGGACGAUGAGAAGGCUUUUGGUAAGAUAGUACAUGGAGGUCAAUGGGAUAAAACCAAUCUGUAAGUUCUGAGCUUGAUUUUACACUUAGGCUUUUAAAUUAAAAUAGAUUUUUUUGUCGAUGUUAUUACUCUCCUGUCUAUCCUGGCAGAAGAAUUGCUCCAACAAUUCUAUUUCUUAUUGAUGUUAUUACUCCUGUCUAUCCUGGAAGAAGAAUUGCUCCAACAAUUUUUUUGGAUGUCCCAGAAGAUUCUCUGAUCAUGAACGAGGAGAUAUUUGAUCCUUUACUUCCCAUCAUCACGGUAAAACUUCAGACCAUGUGGUGAAUUUUUGUUAAACUUAUGAAUUUCCAACCCCUCGUAAUUAUUCAUUUGAAGAGGCUAACAGUUUGAUAUGAAUUGUUACUUUUAUCAUGAAAACAGAGGGCAUUAAAAUACACUUGUUUUUUACUUUCUGUCUUUGCUUUUAUUUUAGCUCAGAAAAUUUUAAAUAUAAGUGAUGUUAUCGUUUCUUUUGAGAAGGUCGACAAAAUUGAAGACAGUAUCAAUGGAUCAAUGCUAGGGAAAAGCCGCUCGCUGCUUAUUUAUUUACGAAUGACAAAGAGCUAAUGGAGGAAUACGUAGGAAGUGUGUCAGCAGGUGGUUUGUGCAUCAAUGACACUACUUUGCAACCUAUAUUACAAUUCGUAAAAAGCCUUUCAUAGACUUGAACAAAUGGUCAAUUAUAUUACACAGUAUGUUUUUACAAUUACACUUGCACUACGAUUUGCAUUAGCUCUAACUGGUUUCACAAUUGUGAUGGGAUUAUAACACGGUAACUUGUCUGCAAGUUAAAUUCUUUGGCUUUCACUUCUCAGCAAGGUGCUUGUUCUUAAGUUCUAAGUUCAUCAAGUGUAAAGCUAAACAACGAGAGUAUGCACAUUUUCUUCUUUUUACCCUGCUUUCGUGAAUGGUAUUUUCAUGAGAUGUAUUACUGUCGUAGUGUAUGCAGUUUUCCUUACUUUUUUUACCGCACGCUUACAAUGAUCAUGUAAAAUGAUGAGUUUAGAAAAAAAUAAAAAUAAAUAAAAAAUAAAAAAUAAAAAUGGUGAUGAGAAUGACCUAAAUCUUAAUAAUUAACUUGCUGGUGCAGCUUGCAGAGUCAUCUUUACCAUUUAGAGGCGUAGGGGUGAGUGGAAUGGGAUCAUACCACGGAAAACUCUCUUUUGAUGCUUUCAGCCAUAAGAAGGCAGCUUUACGACAAGUUUUGUUGGUGAUAUAGGUGCAAGGUACCCGCCAUACACAACUAGGAAGCUUCAACUUCAGAGGGCACUGCUAAAUGGCAGUUUUACUUGGCAUUCUUCAAGCUUUAUUUGGUUGGUAAGAUUCAACCGUAUUUUGGCUAUCCAUGUGCAUGUAAAAUUCAGUCAAACACUUUCAUUAGAAGUAAAAGGUCUAUGUUAUGUAUUUGAUUUUAUGAUAGAAAUAAUGCAUUGUUGCUAAUUGGCUCCACAUCUAUUUGAACAGUAAGGCACCUUGGAAAAGUUUGUUGAUUUGUCAAGUUCUAGAUUUAUCAUAUUUUUAAUGCUCAAGCAUGACAGAAAAAUCAAGCAUUUACGCUAUCAACGCCUAAUCUGUAUUAGAAGGGCAAAA
rnacentral:lncRNA from 1 species